GUCACAGACCCCUCAUUUCAGGGUCUGUCAUCGAAUUCAGAGUAGUUCAUGAGGCUGCUGUGGACCAGAGUGACCCAGCAUAAUCCCUAUCCAGAAUUUUAAGACAAAUACAAUGCUACCAAAUCCACUUUUAUUUUGUAUUUCUGUGUGUGUGUGUAUGUGUGUGUGCACGUGUGUGUGUGUGUGUGUGUGUUUUGGUUAAAAAAAAUCUGCAAGAGAGGAAGAAAAAUACACAUCCAUCCGUGGCGUAUAUUCAGCUGUGAUCAUGAAAAUACUGAGUUAUUGUCCGAAAUCGUGUAAAGCAAGAACCUGCAUUAAGAAAGCAUAGCUAAGCAAACAGGCCCGGGACCCAUAUCUGCUGACAUACCGUGCUAUCCUGAGACUGCCGCAGAACAUUUGCAAAGCCGUGUUCUCUAAGAAUUCUGCACAGUGCAAACAGGCAUGAGGGGAAAAAAUACUACUAGGGAACUUCUAGUUCUUGCUGAAAAGGAAAAUUUUGAGCUCUAAAUCUAGCACUACCAAGCAAGAGAGGCAUCUGUGGCUGCAUAUAAAGCUGGUACUCCUUUGCUUGAACAAAAUCCCUCAGUAUACAGUACUUAAAAUAAACAAAGCUCAAAACAGUCAGCUACACACGCAUGUUUUUUGGCCACAUGCUGCCUGAAGAAAAUAGCUAUGCAGUGUGCAUGCCCUAGUUUAAACCAAGCCUGAAUACCGCACAGUCUCAUUCCUCUCCCGGUCUCCUUUUCUAGACAGAAAUACAUUUCCCUUUAAUGUACAAGUGAGAAAAAAAUAUGUUUAAAAGACAGUCCAGGCCCUUGAUAAAAGCACUUACUUUGAAAGAACAGGACAGACUACGUAUUCAAAACAAGAGCGCCUUCUUAAAGUGCAGGCUCAGAAGUUGUUCAAUGGCCAGGACCUUGAUUUGUGCUGGCGGCUCUGGUCCUGCUGGGCAUGGUUAAGGGCGAGGCUCGCAGCCCGCACGGCGUGGUCCUUCAGGGGUGCUGCGUCAGGCUGACGCUCCGGAACAGUUACUGGGACAGGCUGUGAGCGACUCACCAGGACAGUUUUAUUUCUGUGCUGAGCUUGCUGCUUCCUGCUGGGAAAAUGUUAGUGGCGGAGUCACACCCAGUUUACUAAUUGUUUAACUGCAAAGCUUGACUCUGGAAAUAAAAAAGGAAUGAGAGCAGAAGUGGAGACUUCAUAAAGAAAGUGAAUGGGGAUCCAAAAGGAUCCAGCUCCAGCUCCUGGAAGCUUACCCCACCCCACCAAAGAGAACCUGGAUGGAACCCUCUUUCAUCAGGAAUAAACUGGAGCCCAAGGAAAUGAAGGAAUCAGAUGGGGACCAAGUGACCUGUCCACACAAAAGCCAUCUGAUGAGUGCUUCUACUCCCUGUUCGCAGCCCACCUUCAGCUACACAGAUCUGCACGGCCCCUUGCUUCUGCCAUAUGGGAUCCAGCCUGACAGCAGCGAAUGAGUGCACAGAUUUCAAGUAGAGGAAAUCCCCAGGAAAUGAAACAAAGUACAUUUGCUUUUGAAAAGCCAAGCCAUACGGACGACAAACAAUAUGAUGAAAGGUCACUCAGAACCCCACCCUAGAAGAAAGCCAGAAGUCCUGGUUCGGCUUUGCUGCAUUUUUGGGAACUGGAGAGCUCCAAUAAACACAGGAAGAGAGGAGCAAGUGGAGGCUUUGAGACUGACUGGUGCAGGCCUGGAGCUACUGAGGGCAGGUGAAAUGUGCAGGUAGGCAGAGGUCUGGGCUGAUCUUCAGAGUCCAGUUGCACCUUUAUCCUGGAAAUCAGUUGUGGAGUCAGAUAUACUGAUCCCUAUUUCUAGCUUCCACAACAGUAUUAUUUUGCACCAUUUUGGAAGCUUUCAUAAAACUAUUUUUAUGGAAGUUAUUAUUUGGGGGAAGGAGAGGCAUCCAGGAAAAUCUAUCAUCGACCUACUAAAUGGACCGCACCACCACCUUUUCCAAUUACAUAUUUUUCCACUGGAUAAUAUUUUAAGAUUCUACAGACACAUGAGUGUCUAAGACAUUGAAAAGCAAACAGCAGCAUCUUUCAACAUAAAUAUAUUAAAGCCCAUA
rnacentral:lncRNA from 1 species